CUACCUUGUUGCUUUGGCGGGACCGCUCGGUCUCGAGCCGCUGGGGAUUCGUCCCAGGCGAGCGCCCGCCAGAGUUAAACCAAACUCUUGUUAUUUAACCGGUCGUCUGAGUUAAAAUUUUGAAUAAAUCAAAACUUUCAACAACGGAUCUCUUGGUUCUCGCAUCGAUGAAGAACGCAGCGAAAUGCGAUAAGUAAUGUGAAUUGCAGAAUUCAGUGAAUCAUCGAAUCUUUGAACGCACAUUGCGCCCCUUGGUAUUCCGAGGGGCAUGCCUGUUCGAGCGUCAUUACACCACUCAAGCUAUGCUUGGUAUUGGGCGUCGUCCUUAGUUGGGCGCGCCUUAAAGACCUCGGCGAGGCCACUCCGGCUUUAGGCGUAGUAGAAUUUAUUCGAACGUCUGUCAAAGGAGAGGAACUCUGCCGACUGAAACCUUUAUUUUUCUAGGUUGACCUCGGAUCAGGUAGGGAUACCCGCUGAACUUAAGCAUAUCAA
rnacentral:rRNA from 1 species